rnacentral:rRNA from 1 species
AAAGCGUGCGCAGGCGGUUUUGUAAGACUGUCGUGAAAUCCCCGGGCUCAACCUGGGAAUGGCGAUGGUGACUGCAAGGCUAGAGUUUGGCAGAGGGGGGUAGAAUUCCACGUGUAGCAGUGAAAUGCGUAGAUAUGUGGAGGAACACCGAUGGCGAAGGCAGCCCCCUGGGUCAAAACUGACGCUCAUGCACGAAAGCGUGGGGAGCAAACAGGAUUAGGUACCCCUGU